rnacentral:misc_RNA from 1 species
UUGCAGCCCGGCCUGAGUGGAGCUCUUUUUUGUUGGUGGCUGAGCUUGUCGAAGCCAGUAGUAAAAAAAGCGGGAACGGAGGACGGAUCAAGC